rnacentral:rRNA from 1 species
GACGAACGCUGGCGGCGUGCUUAACACAUGCAAGUCGAACGAGAAUCAUAGGAAGGAGAUUUCGGUCAACGGACUAUGAGGACAGUGGCGGACGGGUGAGUAACGCGUGAGGAACCUGCCUUUCAGAGGGGGACAACAGUUGGAAACGACUGCUAAUACCGCAUAACGCAUAGGAGCCGCAUGACUCCUAUGCCAAAGAUUUAUCGCUGAAAGAUGGCCUCGCGUCUGAUUAGCUGGUUGGUGAGGUAACGGCCCACCAAGGCGACGAUCAGUAGCCGGACUGAGAGGUUGAACGGCCACAUUGGGACUGAGAUACGGCCCAGACUCCUACGGGAGGCAGCAGUGGGGAAUAUUGGGCAAUGGGCGCAAGCCUGACCCAGCAACGCCGCGUGAAGGAAGAAGGCUUUCGGGUGUAAACUCUUUUAAGGGGGAAGAGCAGAAGACGGUACCCCUUGAAUAAGCCACGGCUAACUACGUG